rnacentral:misc_RNA from 1 species
AACGCACAUUGCGCCCUUUGGUAUUCCGAAGGGCAUGCCUGUUCGAGCGUCAUUAUCACCCCUCAAGCCCCCUGGGUUUGGCCUUGGAUGGUUUGGUCUCUUGGGUUGUUAAACCUCCCCCGAGACCCCUCCUAAAGUGAAUGACGGCGGCUUGUCUGACCCCCGGUACAUUGAGCUUCUUUACUGAGCACGUAUCGGUUCAAGUGGUUGGCAGACCGACGGUCUCCUCCCUUUCAUUAGGGAAAAACUCCUUUUUUACAAGGUUGACCUCGGAUCAGGUAGGGAUACCCGCUGAACUUAA